UACAGAGGUCUCAAGCGUUGUUCGGAUUCAUUGGGCGUAAAGGGUGCGUAGGCGGCGCGGUAAGUCGGGUGUGAAAUCUUGGAGCUUAACUCCGAAACUGCAUUCGAUACUGCCGUGCUUGAGGACUGGAGAGGAGACUGGAAUUUACGGUGUAGCGGUGAAAUGCGUAGAUAAUCGUAAGGAAGACCAGUGGCGAAGGCGGGUCUCUGGACAGUUCCUGACACUGAGACACGAAGGCCAGGGGAGCAAACGGG
rnacentral:rRNA from 1 species